rnacentral:rRNA from 1 species
UACGUAGGGAGCAAGCGUUGUUCGGAUUUACUGGGCGUAAAGGGCGCGUAGGCGGCAGAUCAAGUCAGCUGUGAAAUCUCCGAGCUUAACUCGGAACUGUCAGCUGAUACUGUUUUGCUAGAGUGCGGAAGGGGCAAUCGGAAUUCUUGGUGUAGCGGUGAAAUGCGUAGAUAUCAAGUGGAACACCAGUGGCGAAGGCGAGUCCCUGGAAAACUCCUGACACUGAGGCACGAAAGCUAGGGGAGCAAACGGG